UCUCCGUUGGUGAACCAGCGGAGGAAUCAUUACCGAGUUUACAACUCCCAAACCCCUGUGAACAUACCUAUCGUUGCCUCGGCGGUGCCCGCUCCGGCGGCCCGCCAGAGGACCCCCAAACUCUUGUUUUAUACAGUAUCUUCUGAGUAACACGAUUAAAUAAAUCAAAACUUUCAACAACGGAUCUCUUGGUUCUG
rnacentral:misc_RNA from 1 species